CGCCUUAGUAGAUGAAGAAAAACACCAAGAAUCACCAACAUGAGAAAAACUCACAGAUACCAGAGGGUCCUGGCUGGGGACACAACCCAGUUCUCAUUCCAGCAGAUGUGGCUACUGCAACAUGGAGCCAACCCUGCCCUGCAGCCAGGAUCAGUAAACCUCUCUAAAAGGCCAGCAAGAAAGGGCCUGCAGUGUAUGAGGGGCUGCAGAGAUGGCUCAGCAGCUAGGAGUACCACUGCUCUCAAAGAGGACCAGCUCCCAGACCUACAUCAGGCAGCUGCCAAACACCUGUGAACUCCAGCUCCAAGAGAUACCGCACAGGGGGCAUAUUCACAUACAGGUACACAUACUACACAUGAUUAAAAUUUUUUAAUUAAAUA
rnacentral:lncRNA from 1 species